rfam:Camelus ferus unplaced genomic scaffold scaffold2378, whole genome shotgun sequence.
GACGGUAUGGCUCAGUGGUAGAGUGCAUGCUUAGCAUGUGCAAGGUCUUGGGUUCAAUCCCCAUCACCUCCA